rnacentral:lncRNA from 1 species
AAAAAUUACAUUGUUUCUCAUUCUCCUCCUCUUUUUUCUCCUUUAUCUUCAUUUUCACGUGUUUCUUCUUUGCCCAUCUUUUCUUCGCCCUCCAUCUCCGUUGGCAGAUCCUCCACCCAUCUCUCUCCGACCUUCUCUUUUUUUUUUUUUCCUCUCCUGUGGCUGUGGUGGAAGGUCGGAAAGAAAAAAAAGAGGGUCGCGACGUGGCUUCGGCAUCUCUCUCCGACCUUCUCUUUUUUUUUUUACCUCUCCUGUGGCUGUGGUGGAAGGUCGGAAAGAAAAAAAAGAGGGUCGCGACGUGGCUUCGGCGGGAUUGGAUGAUCUGCUAAUGGAGAUGAGGGCGAAAAAGAGAUGAGCGGAGAAGAAACACACGAAAAUGAAGAAGAGAAGAAAGAGAAGAAAGAAGAGAAAUAGUAUAAUUUUGCUUAAAAGUGUAACUUUUGUUUAAAGAGUGCAACUUUUAUUCAAAGAGUACAACUUAAACAUAAUUUUUCUCUUAAAAAGUAGGAGCUUUUCUCUAAAAUAGUGCAACAUUUUCCUAAAAUAGUGCAAUGUUUCCUUGAAAAAUUGCAAAUUCAUCAUCUUCUUCUUUUCUCUCUGAUUCUUUAUUUUUUUAGAAAAAAAUAUUUUUCUUUAUAUUUUAUUCUUUAUUCUUUUUAUUUUUUUAUUUUCUGCAUCUUUUUUUUUUGGCUCCACUCUCAUCCGCACUCGCUCCGAGUUCUCCUUCUUCGCUGUUGGCGUAGGUGUCGGUGCUGGCGAAGGCGGAGGAAGAGAAUGCAGCGCUGUACUCGUUACCGUCGUAGAGAAUCGCGGAGACGGGGAAGGUGGGUUGAAGAGAAAAAACGAACGAGAGAAAAAAUGGGGAGGAAGAGAAUGUGACGUUGCCAUAUUUAUUGUUGUAAAGAACCAGAGAGGCGGUGGAGGAGGGUUAGAAAGAAAAAAAAAAAGGUUGCGGCGCGGCCUCGGCGGGGUCGGAGGCGAGGAAGGCGGAGGGAAGGUGUGCGAGCUAGAGCGAAGGCGCGUGCGACAGAAGCAAAGCGGGCCACCUUCGCCUCCGCCCUUUUGAGAGAAAGAAAAAAAAAGAACGAGAGAAUAAAAAGGAGAGAGAAAAGGAAAUAAGGAUAUUUUAGUCAAUUUUCUGAAAAUCUGGCAUGAAUCUAUAAAAUUCAAAAAGACGGCCUACUUUCGCAAAAGUUCAAAACUAAUGAAUUUUUUAUGCAAAUUGACCAAAAAUAUUUCAAAUAAAAAUGAAU